rnacentral:lncRNA from 1 species
AGAAAAACAAAAAUUUUAAGUUCAUUAGAACACAUUCAUUCUGUGUCAGAAACCUAUGCUGUGUCAACUAUUUAAUCACAAUCCAAAUUUAGAGCUGAAUCCAGCUUGAAUGUUGUGUCCAUACUUGCCCCAACCGUUCAGGGUUCAACCUCUGCGGUCGUAUAAAGCUACGCCCUGCGGAGCAUCUGGUUUUCAUCAUGCUUGAAUAUUUUGACUUUUGUUAUAUUAUAGUUCAUACGGGGGAAUCAUACCAUGAUAAAUUAUAGACCAAGCUAGCAUUUUGUUCCAGUACAAUGCAUUUGUUACCAAUAGGGGACUUUGUAUCCAAUCAAAGGAACUAUUUCAAAUAAAUGCAUCUUUUGAUAAGUAUUUGAUUUUUUAGUUUGUAUCCUCCUCAUUUAAAUUCAUGAAAAGUAGUCCCUUAUGAAUAUUCAUUUUGUAUGAUUAUUUUGAUAGAUUGUGAUAUUUAUUUGUUGAUAUAAGAGCAAUAGUAUUGUUUUACAUGCAUAUUUCAUAAUGUGUUCAAUACAUUGUUUGUUUAAUAUCGGAGAUAUUCUUAUUUUCUUUAAGUUAUUAUUUAAAAUAUCAUGCAUCUAUAUCUUUAUAUAUGCAAUGAAACCGGUUUCAACUUAACCC